ACCUGAUGGAAGAGCUUGGUUUGGGGGAUGCUGAUGAUCUUGAAGAUGCUUCAGACUGGGACUCCGCCAGCACCACCAGUAAGGCCAGUAAGAACUACCCAGUUCAUAAGCUAGAAGACGAACCUCUCUUUGAAAGCCCAGCAGCUUCCACACUACCCAUAACACCUCAGCAACAGGACAUGGACACCAGGGAACAUGAAGAAGCCAAUCCAGAGAGAAACAAACCCACAAUCUCAAGCACAACACCUCUACCUAGUCCACGAUCUCUCAACCCAAACGUCAGCUCAAAACCACAGCCACUGCCACGGCUGCGCUUGGACUCCAAUCAGAGGCCAGAGAGUGAAGGUAGAACUCAGAAACUGCAAAUCUUAGAUUUAGUUCAGUAAAUAUAUAUGCUGAUUACAUAACUUGUUUAUUUACAGAAUCGGACUGGGAUACGGACACUUUCAGUCCAGCCAAGAAGACAGCUUCACUGCCAAAUGUCGCUGAGCCUGAUGCAGUUCGUCGGCAGAAACCCAAAGCUGAAGAUGCAGAGAGUGAAGACCGUUCUGACGCAAGCGAAGAUGUAGAUCAGGCAAGAGAGGCAUUACAAGCAUCUUCCGUAUACAUAAAUAAGCCAUCUAACCAUGAACCACUGGAGCGCCCAACCUCUCCUAUAGAGGACGAACAAGAGGAGAAAGCUGAUGAGAUUCCCUGGGAGGAACGCUAUGAGAAAAUCUGGGUGGAUAAUGAAAAAAAGGAGACCAAGUCCCAAUAUAAAAACGUGGCUGCUGAACUAAAAGAGAGGUUUGGAGAACUGGAGCACAAGGAACCACCAAGUAGGCUUUCGGAGCAGGAGUGGAAAGAAGAUGAACAAUAUGAUGAGGUGGAAAAGGAAGCAGAUGAUGAAGAUUCCAGUGAGGAAGAUGGAGAGCUAAUAGUGCGACCCACCGCCCGGGCAAGAAGUGCCAUACUGUUGCCCAUCCCAGAGCAGAGAGAGUCAGGCCUGGAGGACUCACAGUCUGAAAGUGUCCACCGCACAAUUAGUGUUGAGGUCAGUGAUGCAGAGCUUCCCAGUGACCACCACAACCCCCAAAUCAUCCCAGAAGUCCUAACAGAUGAGGACCAGGAGCCAGACAAACGAGCGGAUGACAUUGAGGAACCUGAUAGUGGAAGCAAAGAAAAGUGUCCACUAGAAUCUGGAAGCAACAUAGAUGAAGAACCUGAACUUCACAGACCUUCAUUGCAUGUUGAGAAUGAGCUACAAAUCCCACAUAAAUUUCUAGAAGCGACCCCUUCUGACCCCGACGAGGUUGGCGAGGGCUUGUGGAAGUCCAGACUUGAGGUAGGACCCCGGGAGGAGUCUCAGACAAACUUGUAUAACGAAUGAAGACUUUCAGUUUUGCCUCUGUCUUCUUGUUCUUCAUUCACAUAAACUCAAAAUGUGAGGGAAAAGCUCCAGCUUCAAAAACAAAACCAUCUGUCGUCUUGUAAUGCUGCCCAGACGCUGACGGGCCAAAUUACACAGCUGCUCCCUAUCUCUGGUUGUGCUAAUCAUUAGCUCUGUUCCAAAACUAGUGAGCUGCCUAGCUGGACAUGACAUGCUUCUGAUUAUGUUGCCUUGUUUUGUCCAAAAACGUGUUUUUAAAACUUUUUAUAAGCUCUUUACCGGUACAUUUUGUGCUCAUGUUGCAGUGCUUUGAAGCUAAUUUAGCGCAUUUACGCAGAAAAACAAUUAUUGUAAUUGUGAAUUUGCAAAUAUUUGCAUUUUAUACAGUAUUGAAAGUGUUGAAAAAGGCCUUAAUCUAAAUAAGCACAUUUCAAAUUUGUAUGUGUCGUAGAGCAAGCAGUGGUCUUCUCAGUGACGCUCGAGAAGCAGAGUUCCAGAUGUCAAAAUAAGACUUUAUUGUGCAACAAAGCUGAGAUGACAGUCACCGCAUCUGGGUCUUUGUCUGUCUGGGCAGCCAUACUUAUACCUUGUUCUUAUCAGUCGUUUUUACCAAAAAUUGGUAAUCUGGUUUCUUAUUGGUUUCGCUUGUCUGGUUUGCCACAAUUAAUUAAUACUCCUCCUGACUUCUUUUGUAAUUGUGGAAUCUGGGCCAGAUGGGCCAUUUUUAAAAUUACUUUUAUUUUGCUGUGUUCUUUGGGUUGGCACAAUAAAGACAUGUUCCUACAUCUCCCA
ensembl:lncRNA